rnacentral:tRNA from 1 species
GCCCCAGUGGCGCAACUGGCAGCGCAGGCGAUUUGUAAUCGCCAGGUUAGCGGGUUCGAGUCCCCUCUGGGGCU